rnacentral:rRNA from 1 species
GCCAUAGGAAUCUGCCUGAUAGUGGGGGAUAACGUUCGGAAACGGACGCUAAUACCGCAUACGUCCUACGGGAGAAAGCAGGGGACCUUCGGGCCUUGCGCUAUCAGAUGAGCCUAGGUCGGAUUAGCUAGUUGGUGAGGUAAUGGCUCACCAAGGCGACGAUCCGUAACUGGUCUGGGAGGAUGAUCAGUCACACUGGAACUGAGACACGGUCCAGACUCCUACG